GAUCCGGUUCCCGGGCUGCCUCCUUCCCGGGCCGUGCGGGGAGUGGGCCCGAUGACCUUGCUCCGGCUCCGGGAGCCCCAGGUCCAGUCCUGCCCUUUCCCGGGAAAGACGGAUCCCUUGCUGAGGCCCUGCGCUCUAGAGGGCCCCCUAAUCACAAGCACUGAGACGCCAAGACUCCCCGCCCCUCCCUCUUUGGUCCCAUGGGUGGUCACAGGGCCAAGCCUCGAGCUGCUGCGGAGCUGGUGUCCUGAUAUAUGGGAAGCCGCUGCUGGGGGGCCCUGCCCGCAUCUCGCCCGUCAUCACUCCUGGGGCCUUCGAACCCGCGGGCCCAUGCUUCAUGCCCCGGCCAGAAGGAGCUUUCUAGAGCAAAUGCGAUGAGUUAAGUUCUGGCCAACUGAAUCAUGAUGAGUCGUAAUCCUACUACCACAGAUCUAUUACAAAGAGAAAGUCACGGAAGGGGCAGAAGCUGGAAGUCAGCAGGAACCUGGCAGAGAAAGGAGAUGGCAUCACCCCGUGAUGGGAAAGCCAAGGAACCCCAAGGAAUGCCGGCCAGCCAGAGGCUGCCUGGGAGGAAACGAGCCUGAUCAUCUCUGAAACCAUGAGCCAAUAA